rnacentral:rRNA from 1 species
UUCCAGACUCCUACGGGAGGCAGCAGUGGGGAAUAUUGCACAAUGGGGGAAACCCUGAUGCAGCGACGCCGCGUGAAGGAAGAGGUAUUUCGGUAUGUAAACUUCUAUCAGCAGGGAAGAAAAUGACGGUACCUGACUAAGAAGCCCCGGCUAACUACGUGCCAGCAGCCGCGGUAACACGUAGGGGGCGAGCGUUAUCCGGAAUCAUUGGGCGUAAAGGGUGCGUAGGCGGCCUUUUAAGCGCGGGGUCUAAGGCGGUGGCCCAACCACCGUUCGCCCCGCGAACUGGAGGGCUAGAGUGUCGGAGAGGGAAGCGGAAUUCCUAGUGUAGCGGUGAAAUGCGUAGAUAUUAGGAGGAACACCAGUGGCGAAGGCGGCUUCCUGGACGAAGACUGACGCUGAGGCACGAAAGCGUGGGGAGCGAACAGGAUUAGAUACCCCUGUAUAA